UACAGAGGGGGCAAGCGUUGUUCGGAAUUACUGGGCGUAAAGGGCGCGUAGGCGGCGGGGUAAGUCUGGUGUGAAAUCUCGGAGCUCAACUCCGAAAUUGCACUGGAUACUGCUCUGCUAGAGGGCUGGAGAGGAGAUCGGAAUUCACGGUGUAGCAGUGAAAUGCGUAGAUAUCGUGAGGAAGACCAGUGGCGAAGGCGGAUCUCUGGACAGCUCCUGACGCUGAGGCGCGAAGGCUAGGGGAGCAAACGGG
rnacentral:rRNA from 1 species